rnacentral:rRNA from 1 species
CUACGGGUCGCAGCAGUGAGGAAUAUUGCACAAUGGGGGGAACCCUGAUGCAGCAACGCCGCGUGGAGGAUGACGCAUUUCGGUGUGUAAACUCCUUUUAUAUGUCAAGAAAAUGACGGUAGCAUAUGAAUAAGCACCGGCUAACUCCGUGCCAGCAGCCGCGGUAAUACGGAGGGUGCAAGCGUUACUCGGAAUCACUGGGCGUAAAGGACGCGUAGGCGGGUUGGAAAGUCAGGUGUGAAAUCCUACAGCUUAACGGUAGAACUGCACUUGAAACUAGUAAGCUAGAGUAUGGGAGGGGGAGAUGGAAUUAGUGGUGUAGGGGUAAAAUCCGUAGAUAUCACUAGGAAUACCUAAAGCGAAGGCGAUCUCCUGGAACAUUACUGACGCUAAGGCGUGAAAGCGUGGGGAGCAAACAGGAUUAGAUACCCGAGUAGUC